GACGAACGCUGGCGGCGUGCUUAACACAUGCAAGUCGAACGAAGAGCGAUGGAAGCUUGCUUCUAUCACUCUUAGUGGCGAACGGGUGAGUAACGCGUAAUCAACCUGCCCUUCAGAGGGGGACAACAGUUGGAAACGACUGCUAAUACCGCAUACGAUCUAAACUCGGCAUCGAGGAUAGAUGAAAGGUGGCCUCUACAUGUAAGCUAUCACUGAAGGAGGGGAUUGCGUCUGAUUAGCUAGUUGGAGGGGUAACGGCCCACCAAGGCGAUGAUCAGUAGCCGGUCUGAGAGGAUGAACGGCCACAUUGGGACUGAGACACGGCCCAGACUCCUACGGGAGGCAGCAGUGGGGAAUCUUCCGCAAUGGACGAAAGUCUGACGGAGCAACGCCGCGUGAGUGAUGACGGCCUUCGGGUUGUAAAGCUCUGUUAAUCGGGACGAAAGGCCUUCUUGCGAAUAGUGAGAAGGAUUGACGGUACCGGAAUAGAAAGCCACGGCUAACUACGUG
rnacentral:rRNA from 1 species